UGAGUGCGAGCUUCUACGGAAGCGAAGUUGGUGACGUCAAGCUUCCAAGAAAAGCCCUAUACCCGUUAAGGCAUGAUUACCUGUACCCGAAACCGACACAGGUGGGGUGGUAGAGAAUACCGAGGGGCGCGAGGUAACUCUCUCUAAGGAACUCGGCAAAAUGACCCCGUAACUUCGGGAGAAGGGGUGCCAGCGCGAGCUGGUCGCAGUGAAUAGGCCCAGGCGACUGUUUACCAAAAACACAGGUCUCCGCUAAGUCGCAAGACGAUGUAUGGGGGCUGACGCCUGCCCAGUGCCGGAAGGUUAAAGAAGUUGGUCAGCGCAAGCGAAGCUAACGACUGAAGCCCCGGUGAACGGCGGCCGUAACAAUAACGGUCCUAAGGUAGCGAAAUUCCUUGUCGGGUAAGUUCCGACCCGCACGAAAGGCGUAACGAUCUGGGCGCUGUCUCGGAGAGAGGCUCGGCGAAAUAGAAUUGUCUGUGAAGAUGCGGACUACGUGCACCCGGACAGAAAGACCCUAUGAAGCUUUACUGUAGCUUGGUAUUGUGCUCGGGCUCGCAAUGCGCAGGAUAGGUGGGAGGCUUUGAUCCAUUGCUUGUGGGUGAUGGUGAGCCACUGGUGAGAUACCACUCUUUGCGAGCUAGGGUUCUAACGGUUACCCGUCAUCCGGGAACCGGACAGUAUCUGGUGGGCAGUUUGACUGGGGCGGUCGCCUCCUAAAAGGUAACGGAGGCGCGCAAAGGUUUGCUCAGGCUGGUUGGAAAUCAGCCGACGAGUGUAAAAGCAGAAGCAAGCUUGACUGUGAGACCUACAAGUCGAACAGGGAGGAAACUCGGCUUUAGUGAUCCGACGGUUCUGAGUGGAAGGGCCGUCGCUCAACGGAUAAAAGUUACUCUAAGGAUAACAGGCUGAUCUCCCCCAAGAGUUCACAUCGACGGGGAGGUUUGGCACCUCGAUGUCGGCUCAUCGCAACCUGGGGCUGAAGUCGGUCCCAAGGGUUGGGCUGUUCGCCCAUUAAAGCGGUACGCGAGCUGGGUUCAGAACGUCGUGAGACAGUUCGGUCCAUAUCCGGUGCAUGCGCAGGAAUAUUGAGAGGAUUUCUCCCUAGUACGAGAGGACCGGGAGGAACGCACCUCUGGUGUACCAGUUAUCGUGCCAACGGUAAACGCUGGGUAGCCAUGUGCGGAGUGGAUAACCGCUGAAAGCAUCUAAGUGGGAAGCCCACCUCAAGAUGAGUAUUCCCAUGGCUUAAGCCAGUAAGGUCACGGGAAGAACACCCGUUGAUAGGCUCUAUGUGGAAGCGCAGUAAUGCGUGAAGCAGAGGAGUACUAAUAGACCGAGGGCUUGAC
rnacentral:rRNA from 1 species